AGGCUACAUGUUUAACAAGCCCUCUCAUAUAGCCAGGUAGCAGAUAGUGUGGUUCUGCAAGCAGGCUGCUGUUGGAUGUCAUAAUGGGAGUUGUUGUCAGACAGCUGUAGGUCUCCAUUUUCGCUGACAAAUUGAGUAGCCUAUUGUAUAAUGAAUCAGAUAUCACUGUGAUAGUAAAUCAGUGCUUUGUUUCACUUAAACCAGCUUGAUCUAAACUUUAAAAAGAAUCUACCAUAAAAAAAAAAAUGUGUUUUGUACCUUUAUAUAUGCGUUUGUGCUGUGUGGUUGAGUGUCGAGCAAGUUCAAGC